rnacentral:rRNA from 1 species
UACGUGGGGGCAAGCGUUGUUCGGAAUUUCUGGGCGUAAAGGGCUCGUAGGUGGCCCACUAAGUCAGACGUGAAAGCCCCCGGCUCAACCGGGGAACGGCGCGGGAAACUAGCAGGCUUGAGUUCGGGAGAGGGAAGCGGAAUUCCGGGUGUAGCGGUGAAAUGCGCAGAUAUCCGGAGGAACACCGGUGGCGAAGGCGGCUUCCUGGACCGACACUGACGCUGAGGCGCGAAAGCUAGGGGAGCAAACGGG